UACCGAGGUGGCAAGCGUUGUUCGGAAUUACUGGGCGUAAAGGGCGCGUAGGCGGCCCUGUAAGUCAGCCGUGAAAUCCCCCGGCUUAACCUGGGAACUGCGUCUGAUACUGGACGGCUUGAGUAUGGGAGAGGGAUGUAGAAUUCCAGGUGUAGCGGUGAAAUGCGUAGAUAUCUGGAGGAAUACCGGUGGCGAAGGCGGCAUCCUGGACCAUUACUGACGCUGAGGCGCGAAAGCUAGGGGAGCAAACGGG
rnacentral:rRNA from 1 species